AGAGCACCGCACGUCGCGUGG
rnacentral:siRNA from 1 species